CGGGCCCCUAGAGCGGCGGACGGGUGAGUAACACGUGGACAAUCCUGCCCCCCGGCCCGGGAUAGCCCAGGGAAACCUGGAUUAAUACCGGAUGAGACGGGACCCGCGAUGGCGGGAUCCGGGAAAGGCGCUGCGGCGCCGCCGGGGGAUGAGUCUGCGUCCCAUUAGCUAGACGGCGGGGUAACGGCCCACCGUGGCGACGAUGGGUAGCCGGCCUGAGAGGGUGGACGGCCACAUUGGAACUGAGACACGGUCCAGACUCCUACGGGAGGCAGCAGCUAAGAAUCUUCCGCAAUGGGCGAAAGCCUGACGGAGCGACGCCGCGUGAACGGAAAAGAAGGUUUUCGGGAUCGUAAAACUCUGUUGUCAGAGAAGAACAAGUUGGAGAGUAACUGCUCCAGCCUUGACGGUAUCUGACCAGAAAGCCACGGCUAACUACGUGCCAGCCGCCGC
rnacentral:rRNA from 1 species